GGAAGAACUACACCACCCAUGAUGCACCGCGGUGUUUGAACUCUGCAGCUACAUCUGAUAAAGUUGUGGUAAACACAUGACAGCUGUUUUUAACCCACAGCGGUUAGAUAGAAGCAAACAGCUGGUGUGGAUUUAAGCACGUUUGCAGCAGAAUGUCUGAAUAUCCGACCUUUCAGUAUGGCAGGUCUCGUUUCGACCAGAACACAUUCUUUGGUCGCUUCAGGCACUUCCUGGAUGUGAUUGACCCGAGCACGCUGUUCAUCACAGAGACGCGGCUGCAGGAAUCUGUGAAGCUGCUCAACCAGUUCAAACAAGGAACUCUGCCUCCAGGAGUCUCAGAUGCUCAGCUUUGGCACGCUCAAAAAAUAAAGCAGGCCAUCAUCCACCCUGACACAGGGGAGAAGAUCCUCAUGCCCUUUCGGAUGUCAGGUUUUAUUCCAUUCGGCACACCUGUGGUUGUUGGCCUCCUUCUCCCCAAUCAAACACUAGUGACCACUAUCUUCUGGCAGUGGUUAAACCAGAGCCACAACGCCUGUGUGAACUACUGCAACCGCAAUGCCUCAAAGCCGGCUCCAGUCUCUAAAUUCUUCCAGGGAUACCUCGGAGCGGUGACCAGCGCCGUCUCCAUCGCAGUUGGUUUGAACGUUUUAAUCAAGAAAGCCAGCCGCUUCAGCCCAACCACCAGGCUUUUGGUGCAGAGGUUCAUCCCCUUCCCAGCAGUGGCGACUGCAAACGUCUGCAACGUGGUGCUCAUGAGACACUCGGAGCUGUCGGAGGGUAUCAGUGUGCUCGACGACAACGGGAACGUGGUGGGAACAUCCAAAGUAGCUGCCAGGCAUGCUCUUUUAGAGACGGCUCUAACCAGAGUAGUCCUACCUAUGCCCAUCCUGGUGCUCCCUCCCAUGAUCAUGGCCGCACUGGAGAAGCUUCCUCUCCUGCAGAGACGGCGGAGGCUGGUCCUCCCGAUCCACAGCCUGGUGUGCCUCGCCGCCUUCGGGCUGGCUUUGCCCCUCGCCAUCAGUCUCUUCCCACAGAUGUCUGAGAUCAGUGUGAACGAGCUGGAGCCAGAGAUCUCCAUGGCGACAGAUUGUAAGAUUUUGACGUACAACAAAGGCCUGUGAGUGAUCUCUGCUGCCAGACACACGAAGACGAAGACCCGCUGCUCGUCCUGGAGCAGAUCUCCUGAAGCUGGAUGAAUCAUGGUUAAUAUCCACAUACCUGUGCUGGUUACUCACUGCUCCAGUCAAGUUAACCACACACAGCCUACACACGAGAUGCCAUCUGUUAUCUGUGCUUGUUUACAUGCAGGUAGUAGAGCAAUACAGCGUUACGGCUGCAGCCAUGUUACUCGUACUGAUCUUGUUUCCUAUUGUCUAGAUCUUUGCUUGUGUUCUUGUAUGUACGUCGCUUUGGAUAAAAGCGUCUGCUAAAUGACUUUGUAACAUUGUAACAUUAACCAGAGCUACAACUGGAGGCUUCACUUCAGCUCAGACACAACUCAUGACCAUAAUUUUUCACCAACAAUCGUAUAAGAAUAUCAAUAAUAAAGCUAACUGACUAGUAUAUCUGGUGCCGACCAUCAAGGGUGAUAUAGUUUGAUCAUUUAGUUGAUGAAACAAACAUUCACAUGUGCACAAAACUCCUGCAAUCAGCUUAAAUUUCGCCCAGACUUUAUACAGGAUUGUCCCUGGCAGCCUCUUGGCACAAUUUCUGCAAGAUAUCAGGAUUUAUAUCAUUUGAGGAAUGCAAACCUGGAAGAGCAACAUGUAUGGGGAUGAUUAGAAACAGGUUGAAGAAGAAGAAGAAUCAUUUUCAAGACGUAGCAGUAAACAUGUUUACAAGAUUGAAAACCAAAAUCAGAAUCACUCAUAUGAGACAAAUCGCGUGAAGCUGUAACACCAGGCCAGAGUUAUGUCAUAAUUAAGAUUUGUACUUUUUUAUUCUCUACUUUUCCAAAAUAAUAAGCUAACAACCAAAAAAGAAUGUAUAAGCUUUAAAUAAAUAUAAUAAGUGUGUUAAGAUGGAGGUAUAUGUAAAUGAACAUAGUUAGGAUUGUAGAUGUUAUACUGUGAAUGGAAUCAGGAUGAAUUAUAAUCUGUAUUUCUGUGAACUUGUUUUUUAUGAUGAUACUUUUAAGUAUGUUAAAUGUUAAAACCACUGAUUUUAUAUGAAACAAAUGAUCAGAAGAAAAUGUCACAUUAUGAAAGUUUUAUAUCAGAAUUGUUUUUUUUCCUCUUUAUUUUUUAUCUUGUAAAUCGAGUAUAAACAACUUUUACACUUAAACCAUGUUUGUCUUAAACUUGAUAAUUCCCUUUAAUAUAAAAAAAGUCAUUUUUAACUCACCUGUGAAAUAUAACAUGUUGUUUUCUGCAUUGAUGCUAUGAUUAUUUAAAGCUGCUAAUGCUACUGUAACUCCCAGUGUGUGUGUGUGUGUGUGUGUGUGUGUGUGUGUGCUUUGGCUUCCUCUGAACUGGAAGCUGUCACUCUGAAAUCCAACAUGUUUACUCACUCACUAUGUCUACAUACUUUGAUGCCAGCUGAAAUGAUGAUGUGUUUUAUAAGCUUCGACUACAAAUGACCUUGUAAUCAUGAAAUGACAAAGUGACGACUGUAUUUACACACAUGUGAAAAUCACUGCCAAGGUGUCUACUGUAAGAACGCUACCUCGUCUCUGUGUUUGUGUUUGCACUUGAUUUAUAUAAACUUUCUGUCUUCAG